rnacentral:rRNA from 1 species
GACGAACGCUGGCGGCGUGCUUAACACAUGCAAGUCGAACGAAGAGCGAUGGAAGCUUGCUUCUCUCAAUCUUAGUGGCGAACGGGUGAGUAACGCGUAAUCAACCUGCCCUUCAGAGGGGGACAACAGUUGGAAACGACUGCUAAUACCGCAUACGAUCCGACCUCGGCAUCGAGGAUGGAUGUAAGGUGGUCUCUAUUUAUAAGCUAUCACUGAAGGAGGGGAUUGCGUCUGAUUAGCUAGUUGGAGGGGUAACGGCCCACCAAGGCAAUGAUCAGUAGCCGGUCUGAGAGGAUGAGCGGCCACAUUGGGACUGGGACACGGCCCAGACUCCUACGGGAGGCAGCAGUGGGGAAUCUUCCGGAAUGGACGAAAGUCUGACGGAGCAACGCCGCGUGAGUGAUUACGGCCGUCGGGUUGUAAAGCUCUGUUAAUCGGGACGAAAGGUCUUCUUGCGAAUAGUUAGAAGAAUUGACGGUACCGGAAGAGAAAGCCACGGCUAACUACGUG